rnacentral:rRNA from 1 species
AUGAACGCUAGCUACAGGCUUAACACAUGCAAGUCGAGGGGCAGCAUGAACUUAGCUUGCUAAGUUUGAUGGCGACCGGCGCACGGGUGAGUAACACGUAUCCAACCUGCCGAUGACUCGGGGAUAGCCUUUCGAAAGAAAGAUUAAUACCCGAUGGCAUAGUUCUUCCGCAUGGUAGAACUAUUAAAGAAUUUCGGUCAUCGAUGGGGAUGCGUUCCAUUAGGUUGUUGGCGGGGUAACGGCCCACCAAGCCUUCGAUGGAUAGGGGUUCUGAGAGGAAGGUCCCCCACAUUGGAACUGAGACACGGUCCAAACUCCUACGGGAGGCAGCAGUGAGGAAUAUUGGUCAAUGGACGAGAGUCUGAACCAGCCAAGUAGCGUGAAGGAUGACUGCCCUAUGGGUUGUAAACUUCUUUUAUACGGGAAUAAAGUGAGGCACGUGUGCCUUUUUGUAUGUACCGUAUGAAUAAGGAUCGGCUAACUCCGUGCCAGCAGCCGCGGUAAUACGGAGGAUCCGAGCGUUAUCCGGAUUUAUUGGGUUUAAAGGGAGCGUAGGCGGACGCUUAAGUCAGUUGUGAAAGUUUGCGGCUCAACCGUAAAAUUGCAGUUGAUACUGGGUGUCUUGAGUACAGUAGAGGCAGGCGGAAUUCGUGGUGUAGCGGUGAAAUGCUUAGAUAUCACGAAGAACUCCGAUUGCGAAGGCAGCUUGCUGGACUGUAACUGACGCUGAUGCUCGAAAGUGUGGGUAUCAAACAGGAUUAGAUACCCUGGUAGUCCACACAGUAAACGAUGAAUACUCGCUGUUUGCGAUAUACAGUAAGCGGCCAAGCGAAAGCGUUAAGUAUUCCACCUGGGGAGUACGCCGGCAACGGUGAAACUCAAAGGAAUUGACGGGGGCCCGCACAAGCAGUGGAGUAUGUGGUUUAAUUCGAAGCAACGCGAAGAACCUUACCAGGGCUUGACAUAUAAAGUGAUAUUUAAGAGAUUAAAUAGCUCUUCGGAGACUUUAUACAGGUGGUGCAUGGUUGUCGUCAGCUCGUGUCGUGAGAUGUUGGGUUAAGUCCCGCAACGAGCGCAACCCCUGUUGCAUGUUGCCAGCAUUAAGUUGGGGACUCAUGCGAGACUGCCGGCGUUAAGCCGGAGGAAGGUGGGGAUGACGUCAAAUCAGCACGGCCCUUACGUCCGGGGCUACACACGUGUUACAAUGGGGGGUACAGAAGGCAGCUACACGGCGACGUGAUGCUAAUCCCGAAAGCCUCUCUCAGUUCGGAUUGGAGUCUGCAACCCGACUCCAUGAAGCUGGAUUCGCUAGUAAUCGCGCAUCAGCCACGGCGCGGUGAAUACGUUCCCGGGCCUUGUACACACCGCCCGUCACACCAUGGGAGCCGGUAAUACCCGAAGUCAGUAGUCUAACCGCAAGGAGGACGCUGCCGAAGGUAGGAUUGGCGACUGGGGUG